rnacentral:rRNA from 1 species
GAUGAACGCUGGCGGCGUGCCUAAUACAUGCAAGUCGAGCGAACAGACGAGGAGCUUGCUCCUCUGACGUUAGCGGCGCACGGGUGAGUAACACGUGUAUAACCUACCUAUAAGACUGGGAUAACUUCGGGAAACCGGAGCUAAUACCGGAUAAUAUAUUGAACCGCAUGGUUCAAUAGUGAAAGACGGUGUUGCUGGCAGUUAUAGCUGGAUCCGGGCCGCUUUAGCUAGUUGGUAAGUUAACGGGUUACCAAGGCAACGAUGCGUAGCCGACCUGAUAGGGUGGUCGGCCACACGGGAACUGAGACGCGGACCAGAGUCCUGCGGGAGGGAGCAGUAGGGAAUCUUCCGCAAUGGGCGAAAGCCUGACGGAGCAACGCCGCGUGAGUGAUGAAGGCGUUCGGAUCGUAAAACUCUGUUAUUAGGGAAGAACAAAUGUGUAAGUAACUGUGCACGUCUUGACGGUAACUAGUCAGAAAGCAACGGCUAACUACGUG